GCCGGAGGUCCAGGUGGGAGACGCCGCGCCCCGCACCGAGGUAUGAGAGCUGCAGCAGCGACAACCAGGCGGCCUGAAGUGCAGACGCAAAACGGAUCCCGGGGCUAGGACACGGGGGUUCCGAAAGCAGGAUGACGCGCCCGGAGGGGACGAGACGGUCCAGAGCACGCCCGGGAGAGAGGGCGGCCCAGACGGCACCGGCCUGCGCUCCAGCCCUCCCUCCCUCACACACGCGGAAUCUCAAAACAUGCGGACAUGCCAGCCCCUCCCGCACACCUCGGGCUGCACCACCUGCUCCCGGCGCCUCCCCGCCCCCGGCUCGCCCGCGCCGGUUCUCACGCGCGGCCAGCGCCCUUCCCCGCCGCUCCCGCCCCUUUCACUUCCGCACAGCUUAGGAGUCGGGGCCAGCGCCUCCGCUCCCACCUUCCCA
ensembl:lncRNA novel transcript